CCCUUAGAUGUUCUGAACCGCACGCGUGUUACACUGAUGCAUUCAACGAGCUUUACCUUGGCCGAGAGGCCUGGGAAAUCUUUUUAGCAUGCAUCGUGAUAGGGAUUGAUUAUUGCAAUUAUUAAUCAUGAACGAGGAAUUCCUAGUAAACGCAUUUCAUCAAAAUGCAUUGAUUACGUCCCUGCCCUUUGUACACACCGCCCGUCGCACCUACCGAUUGGGUGGUCCGGUGAAGUCUCGAGAUUGUGGCAAUCUCCUUUAUUGGAGUUUGACUGCGAGAACUUGCCUAAACCUUAUCACUUAGAGGAAGGUGAAGUCGUAACA
rnacentral:rRNA from 1 species